rnacentral:misc_RNA from 1 species
GAAGAAAACCCAAAAGUGAUCAAUGAAGAAGAUGAAUAUAAAGAAGAAGAGAAAAUUAUUCAACAUUACUCUUCAUUUCAUCGGAUACUCUUAGUGGGUGAUGGAGAUUUCUCUUUUUCUCUCUGUUUAGCUCAGUUUUUUGGUUCUGCAUCGAAUAUUGUUGCUUCGUCUUUACAAUUAUAUGAUGAAGUGAUCAAAAUGUACAAGAAUGGGCAAUCGAACUUGGAAAAGCUGAAAUCUUUGGGAGGAACUGUGUUGCAUGGUGUGGAUGCAACUGAAAUACAGCUUCAUACUGAUCUCAGUAACCAGAAAUUUGAUAGGAUUAUCUAUAAUUUUCCUCAUGCAGGGUUUUAUGGCAGUGAAGAUCGUGAUCAUGUAAUACAAAUGCACAAG